rnacentral:snoRNA from 1 species
CCAUGGGCCCUCUCACAUGCCCCAUGCUAAAGCAAACUGUCACCCCAAACCAUUGCCUGGCUUUACCCAGUGGCUUAAGGUACUGAAGUGGGUUACACAGGG